rnacentral:rRNA from 1 species
UACCAGCUCUCCGAGUGGUGGGGAUGAUUAUUGGGCUUAAAGCGUCCGUAGCCGGCCUCUCAAGUCUCUCGUUAAAUCCAGCGAUUCAAUCGUUGGACUGCGGGAGAUACUGUCAGGCUAGGGGGCGGGAGAAGCCGACGGUAUUUUCGGGGUAGGGGUAAAAUCCUAUAAUCCCGGGAAGACCACCAGUGGCGAAGGCGGUCGGCUAGCACGCGCUCGACGGUGAGGGACGAAAGCUGGGGGAGCGAACCGGAUUAGAUACCCGGGUAGUCCCAGCUGUAAACGAUGCGGGCUAGGUGUUGAAGCGGCUACGAGCCGCUUCAGUGCCGCAGGGAAGCCAUUAAGCCCGCCGCCUGGGGAGUACGGCCGCAAGGCUGAAACUUAAAGGAAUUGGCGGGGGAGCACCACAAGGGGUGAAGCUUGCGGUUUAAUUGGAGUCAACGCCGGGAACCUUACCGGGGGCGACAGCAGAAUGAAAGCCAGAUUGAAGGUCUUGCUGGACGAGCUGAGAGGAGGUGCAUGGCCGUCGCCAGUUCGUGCCGUGAGGUGUCCUGUUAAGUCAGGCAACGAUCGAGACCCACACCCUCUGUUGCUACCGAGGAGUCUUCCAAGGGGCACUCUGAGGGGACUGCCGCCGACAAGGUGGAGGAAGGAGUGGGCCACGGCAGGUCAGUAUGCCCCGAAUCCCCCGGGCCACACGCGAGCUGCAAUGGCUGGGACAAUGAGUUCCAACCCCGAGAGGGGACGGUAAUCCCGAAACCCAGCCUCAGUUUGGAUCGAGGGCUGAAACCCGCCCUCGUGAAAAUGGAAUCCCUAGUAAUCGCGCGUCAUCAGCGCGCGGUGAAUACGUCCCUGCUCCU